GGGAAAUCUAGAGCUAAUACAUGCAAAAGAGAAUUCUUUGAAAAAAGGAAUGCAUAUAUUAGAUACAAAUCCAAAAAUACAAAGGUGAAGUCAUAAUAUUUAUAGCAAAUCAUAUAGAAUUUAGUUUCUUGAUGAUAAACCGAUCAAAUUUCUGCCCUAUCAUACUUUGGACGGUAAUGUAGUGGAUUACGGUGGUGAUGACGGGUAACGGAGAAUUAGGGUUUGAUUCCGGAGAGGGAGCAUGAGAAAUGGCUACCACUUCCAAGGAAGGCAGCAGGCGCGUAAAUUACCCAAUCCUAAAACAGGGAGGUAGUGACGAUAAAUAACAAUGAUUCAAUGAUAACAAAGUUGAAUUAAAUUGGAAAUUGAGAACAAUAUAAAUCCCUUAUCGAGUAACAAUUUCAGGGCAAGUCUGGUGCCAGCAGCCGCGGUAAUUCCAGCUCCAAAGCGUAUAUUAAAGUU
rnacentral:rRNA from 1 species